rnacentral:rRNA from 1 species
CGCGUGAGGGAUGACGGCCUUCGGGUUGUAAACCUCUUUCAGUAGGGAAGAAGCGAAAGUGACGGUACCUGCAGAAGAAGCGCCGGCUAACUACGUGCCAGCAGCCGCGGUAAUACGUAGGGCGCAAGCGUUAUCCGGAAUUAUUGGGCGUAAAGAGCUCGUAGGCGGUUUGUCGCGUCUGCUGUGAAAGACCGGGGCUCAACUCCGGUUCUGCAGUGGGUACGGGCAGACUAGAGUGCAGUAGGGGAGACUGGAAUUCCUGGUGUAGCGGUGAAAUGCGCAGAUAUCAGGAGGAACACCGAUGGCGAAGGCAGGUCUCUGGGCUGUAACUGACGCUGAGGAGCGAAAGCAUGGGGAGCGAACAGGAUUAGAUACCCUGGUAGUCCAUGCCGUAAACGUUGGGCACUAGGUGUGGGGGACAUUCCACGUUUUCCGCGCCGUAGCUAACGCAUUAAGUGCCCCGCCUGGGGAGUACGGCCGCAAGGCUAAAACUCAAAGGAAUUGACGGGGGCCCGCACAAGCGGCGGAGCAUGCGGAUUAAUUCGAUGCAACGCGAAGAACCUUACCAAGGCUUGACAUGAACCGGUAAUACCUGGAAACAGGUGCCCCGCUUGCGGUCGGUUUACAGGUGGUGCAUGGUUGUCGUCAGCUCGUGUCGUGAGAU